UACGUAGGGGGCAAGCGUUGUCCGGAAUCAUUGGGCGUAAAGAGUGUGUAGGCGGUGCUCUAAGUUCGGUGUGAAAUCUCCCGGCUUAACUGGGAGGGUGCGCCGGAAACUGGAGUGCUCGAGCGUGGGAGAGGAAAGCGGAAUUCCUGGUGUAGCGGUGAAAUGCGUAGAUAUCAGGAGGAACACCUGCGGUGUAGACGGCUUUCUGGACCAUUGCUGACGCUGAGACACGAAAGCGUGGGGAGCGAACAGG
rnacentral:rRNA from 1 species